rnacentral:rRNA from 1 species
AUACGGAGGGGGCUAGCGUUGUUCGGAAUUACUGGGCGUAAAGCGCGCGUAGGCGGGCUGGUAAGUUGGGGGUGAAAUCCCAGGGCUCAACCCUGGAACUGCCCUCAAUACUGCCAGUCUUGAGUUCGAGAGAGGUAAGUGGAAUUCCUAGUGUAGAGGUGAAAUUCGUAGAUAUUAGGAAGAACACCAGUGGCGAAGGCGGCUUACUGGCUCGAUACUGACGCUGAGGCGCGAAAGCGUGGGGAGCAAACAGGAUUAGAAACCCCGGUAGUCC